UCGACUUUAAGAUUAAAUGUGGUUGUAAUUAGUUGCUUUUGCAGAGGAGGCCAUUGUUUUUAACUUUAAGAGUGCUUUUUGCUCAUAAGUAGUAAUUGUCUGUGCAAGGCACAAUACCAGAUCCUUUUUUCAUGGCUGCAUUUGAGAUUGAGUUUGUGGAUUAAAUAAGUCUACACUCACAUGCAACCGCUCACACACACUCACAUGCAUAUUGCAUGGCCCACCUGACUUGCUCUGCAUGUUGGCCAUGCCAAUAUGCAUGUGAGUGUAUGUGAGCGGUUGUAUGUGAUAGUAGACUUAUUGUUGUGGAUUAUGUUUUGAGUUUAUGGUGAAUGAUUGCCGUCGAGAGCUUGUGAGUUUUGUUUCUAACAUGAUGAUAUGGCUUUAUAUAAAAUUUCUUAUUGUUGUGGCGAUAUUCUCUGUUUCCAAUUUCUUAUACUAAUCCUCCAUUCUCCUAAUGUUUCAGCCAAGGAAAGCAGAAGAGAAGAAGUAGUGAGUGUGCUAAUAAGUUCCAAGGACCUUGAUAGUAUCUGAUCACCCACAUCCAAACACUUGAAAUAUAGCUGUAGAAGAAGUUAUAUUAUGUAUUAGGUAAAUAAUUCACUUAUGUGAUAAUGGACUCGGAAAAUUAUAUUAUAUUCCAGAAAAUCACUAGUACACAAAAUUCAAUGUUUUGUGUGGAUAAUAUAUUCUCAAUUGCAUUUUCUUAGAAUAAAUAUUUAUAAUUUAAUGUUUUACGUGUCAUUAAUAUUUUUCACUCGUUGUAGUUAUUUACACCAUGUUUGUGAUUGCUACUAUUAUUAUUGUGAACAAACAAAAUUAUUUUGUUAUAAAUUGACAGAAGCUUAAAACUAAG
rnacentral:lncRNA from 1 species